rnacentral:rRNA from 1 species
AGCAGGCGCGCAAAUUACCCAAUCCCGACACGGGGAGGUAGUGACAAUAAAUAACAAUACGGGGUUCUUUNGGAUCUCGUAAUUGGAAUGAGUACAAUUUAAAUCUCUUAACGAGGAACAAUUGGAGGGCAAGUCUGGUGCCAGCAGCCGCGGUAAUUCCAGCUCCAAUAGCGUAUAUUAAAGUUGUUGCAGUUAAAAAGCUCGUAGUUGAAUUUCGGGGUUAGUAGGUUGGUCAUGCCUCUGGUAUGUACUGGUCUCACUGAUUCCUCCUUCCUGAUGAACCGUAAUGCCAUUAAUUUGGUGUUGCGGGGAAUUUGGACUGUUACUUUGAAAAAAUUAGAGUGUUUAAAGCAAGCUAACGCUUGAAUACAUUAGCAUGGAAUAAUGAAAUAGGACGUUCGAUCCUAUUUUGUUGGUUUCUAGGAUUGACGUAAUGAUUAAUAGGGAUAGUUGGGGGCAUUAGUAUUCAAUUGUCAGAGGUGAAAUUCUUGGAUUUAUUGAAGACUAACUACUGCGAAAGCAUUUGCCAAGGAUGUUUUCAUUAAUCAAGAACGAAAGUUAGGGGAUCGAAGACGAUCAGAUACCGUCGUAGUCUUAACCAUAAACUAUGCCGACUAGGGAUCGGAUGAUGUUAAUUUUUUAAUGACUCAUUCGGCGCCUUACGGGAAACCAAAGUGUUUGGGUUC